UUAUAAGAGACAGCAGCAGCCGCGGGAAAACGGAGGGUGCAAGCGUUAAUCGGAAUUACUGGGCGUAAAGCGCACGCAGGCGGUCUGACAAGUCAGAUGUGAAAUCCCCGGGCUUAACCUGGGAACUGCAUUUGAAACUGUCAGGCUGGAGUCUUGUAGAGGGGGGUGGAAUUCCAGGUGUAGCGGUGAAAUGCGUAGAGAUCUGGAGGAAUACCGGUGGCGAAGGCGGCCCCCUGGACAAAGACUGACGCUCAGGUGCGAAAGCGUGGGGAGCAAACAGGAUUAGAUACCCCGGUAGUCCCUGUCUCUUAUAC
rnacentral:rRNA from 1 species